rnacentral:misc_RNA from 1 species
GAGCGCUACACAUCCAUAGUUGUUGUAAACUGAAACAAAGUUGGCACACGGUCAAGCAAUACAAUCUUGUGCUUAAAGACGUGAAGAGUUUUAUAUUAAUUGAAGUUUUCCACCAAUGAAAAACAUCAUAUUUCUGAUCAGAUUUGGUACAGGCAUAUUUUUAAUGGAUGCCACUUUCCUCACCCCAAUACGUGAAUUCAACAAAGUCCCUUAUGCCUACCCACCAUCUCUUCAUAAUCUCCUGCAACUAACUCUACUUUAAUCUCUCUCUCUCCAUGGUACACCAACCGUCAAUAUAACAUAUAUCUGUCUCUACUACAGACCAUUUCUCCUUAAAAAGUACUUAGAAGCAACAGACACCACCAUCCGAUCCCAUUUCUUCAACCACACUUCCCAAUAAUUAGAGAUGAAAGUGAAAGCAUUAGUUGCCUUCCAAUCCAAGCUUUUCAGCCCAUGCAGAAAUAUAUUUUUAUUCUUCAGAAUCAAACUCGGAAAACCUAUCUUCAUAAGAGCUUUUCGAUUUCGUGCUCAACGCAACAAGACUAGAAAAACUCUUACAAGGAAUCGAAUGUCUACUGCCUUGUUUUCAUUUUUCCGCUCCCCUAAGCAUUCAAGACAGAUGGACAGAGUUGGGGAGCUUGGAAGUGUUUCCAAAGAAGAGCACGAUAGAAAGUUCUUUCCAUCACCAAAGCUCUUUCAGUCACCUCUUACUCCAGCCUAUAUCAAAGCCAGCAGAGUUGCCAUGAAGGAAGCCUUUGGCAAUGAAGACAUAGAAGAUGCAUGCAGAAGUUUUGAGAACUAUUUGGUGGAGAUGAUAGUUGAAGAGGGAAAAGUGAGGGACUUGACGGAUGUGGAAGAGCUUCUGUAUUGCUGGAAGAAUCUCAAGUGUCCUCUCUUCAUUGAUUUGGUGUGUAGAUUCUAUGGAGAACUAUGCAAGGACCUGUUCUCCCCAGAGGAUGACAAUGAUACUGAUACUGCAAACUGACUCUGCAUCUAAACUUUGCUCCCCCACGCACCCCACCCUUUUCCCUCUUCCAAGAAAAGGAAGGAAGAAGAAGAAGACGAAGAAGAGGAGAGAGAGAGAGGA